rnacentral:sRNA from 1 species
GUAAAGGAGAAAAGAGCUGCCGCCGCCGC